CCGGGGAGGGGCUCCUUAAAGAAACGCUGCUGUCGCUCGCCUGCUCGCUUUUCGCUCGGCUUUGUGGCCAGCCAGCCGGGCACUCGGGGGGCACGCGCAGCCGCCACUCGAGCUUUGCCCCCACCCCAACCGCCAGAAGAUCUGGGGUGGGGACCCAGGCGGGGGCUUUUGCAGCCACUGCCCAGUGCGUACUGCACAGAGCGACCCAUUCCUCCCGGCGCCGAGAAAGGAGCAACGGAGCCCUCCUCAGCCGGCCGGCCUCCCCGCCCCUGACCACCCGCUUCCCGGCUG
rnacentral:lncRNA from 1 species